UGUUUCAGGUUCAUCACCUGGUCUGCAGCCCAAGAAUGAUUUGAGGUUCCCUCAGCUACUUCUGUGCUCAGCUCCCGUCCAAAGUCAGGUUUGAAGGAGGAACAAGGUACAUGUAAUAGACAGGGAGACAGAAUCCCAAGCAGACCUCAUGCUGUCAGCACAGAGCCCAACUGAAGACUUGAACUCCAAACUUGAGAUGGUGUGAGCUGGAAUCCAGGGUCAAAUGCUUAAUGGACUGAGCCAACCAGGCACCUCUAAAAACUUGAGUCCAUGCCAAAAGGCCUGCCCUCGCCAGCCAUUGUCAAUUUAUGCUGCUGGUAUAAAUAUAACUUGAUUGGGAUAAUCCUG